rnacentral:rRNA from 1 species
AUUGACCGCUCGCGGCAGGCUUAACACAUUCAAGUCGAGCGAGCGGCGGACGGGUGAGUAAUGUCUGGGAAACUGCCUGAUGGAGGGGGAUAAAUACUGGCAACGGUAGCUAAUACCGCAUACCAUCAGAUGUGCCCAGAUGGGAUUAGCGAGUAGGUGGGGUAAUGGCUCACCUAGGCGACGAUCCCUAGCUAGUCUGAGAGGAUGAACAGCCACACUGGAACGGAGACACGGUCCAGACUCCUAGGGGAGGCAGCAGUGGGAAAUAUUGCACAAUGGGCGAAAGCCUGAUGAAGGGCUGCCGCGGGUGUGAAGAAGGCCUUCUGGUGGUAAAGCACUUUCAGCGAGGAGGCGUUACUCGCAGAAUAGGCACCGGCUAACUCCGUGCCAGCCGCCGCGGUAAUAC